ensembl:lncRNA
GUACAGGGAGCUGUUCUGAUUGUGCUACUGAGACUGUUCUUCCAGUGAGUGAAAUGUUUUCAUAUUGCAGUGUAAUCGUGGGCAUUGUGGAUGGCACAGUGGUGAAAAUGGGAACACACACAGAGCUGAUGGGGAAAAAGGAGCCAGAUUAUUCACUUCCAACCUCACAGAUGGCAGCAGAGGGGAACUCUGACAAAAUGGCAUCUGACAUGGAAGCACAUAUGGAGCAACGAAUGGAAUUGAAUUUGCCCAUGAGGAAAAAAUGGCACCUCCUGACACUCACUGAUGUUUGCUGAAUGUUUCUGGAGACCAAACAGUGGAUGUGAGCACAGUGAGGCGGUGGGUGGUGCCUUCCAGCACUGGCAACGGUGACAGUGGGUCACCUCCACUCAUACAGAUAUUUAUGAGCAGGGUAUGCAGGCUCUUAUCCACUGCUAGUGAAAAUGCACAGAUAAUAGUGGUGACUGUGCUUAAAAUAGUGUUUUGUAGGUGAGAAUUUGUUCUAUCAAAUAGUGUUUUUGUGCUUGUUGUAUCUGUUGUCAUUUCCAUAGAAAUAAUUAGGAGGAAGAGAAACGUGCAUAUAUGAUUUGUCUAAUACAGCUAGAAAAUGUCUCCCAAACUGGUAACCCUUUACUAUCUUUUCAACCUUCUACCAAUUUCCUUGAAUAAAGAGAAAUUACAGUCAUUCUCAUAAAAGCAAACCAAAGCCCAACAUGUUAUUAUGACCUGAUGAAACUAAGUGCACAGGAAUUUUCUGGAACAACUGCAGACUUUGUUGAAGCCUGCUAAUUGCCAUUUUAAUACAAGUAGUUAUUUCAAUACUUUCUUUCACAGUAGUAUUUUUUGAUGUUUUAGGAAUUUUCUAGACACAUCCAUAAUGUACUUCCAUUGUGAUUGUUCAAACUAGUGUUGUGUAAAAAUAAAAUUGUAGAAGUUGUUGUU